AAAUAAUCUCUCUCUCCUCUGUACCUCAGUUGCUCCGUUUGGCAAAAGAAAUUGUAGGCCACCUGCCUCUUUAUUGCCUCACCCCAACACCUACAGAAGAAAAAACAAUGCCAUCUUCGUUAUUUCCAAAGCCCGUUUCCUCUUCAUUAAAACCAUCUCCACUCCCCUCAAACAAAUAAAAUAAAAGAAAACACACACACAUACACGUACAAAAGCCAAACAAACACUCCCUUUCCCGUCUCUUUUAUUUUUAUUUCUUUUUGUUUCUCCCUCAAUGGCUCCUCCGAUCAAACUCAAACAAUCGCCGAAUCCAACCGCGCAAACGCUUACCAGCACGACGUCGUCUCAGGACGCGCGUCUUCUUGUCCGUGAGACGCUGCGUAUUAGUGCUAAUCUAGCUUCGGCUCCACCUGCUGAGUCGCUUGCUUUGCUUGAUAAUAACAUUAGUAAUGAUUCUAGUAAUAAGAAUAAGAGUAGGAAAUUGGGGUUUGUAGAGGAGGAAUUUGUAGAUUCGAGUUUGAGAUUGAUUUGUUGUGAAGAAAUUGAUGGACGGAAAUGGAAAUACGUUGCUGAAAAUGACGGAUUUGGAAGGUUUAAAAAGAAUUCGUUUCGUUCUGUUAGUUUGCAGAAUCCUCAAGCUCCUGUUGAGGAAUUGAUGUCAUUUAUACGAUCCUAUGUAGUACCAGAAGGUUUUCCUGAUAGUGUUACUCCGUCUUAUGUCCCAUACAUGACUUGGAGAGCUUUGAAGCACUUCUUUGGUGGAGCAAUGGGUGUUUUCACAACGAAAACCCUUUUAAGUUCAGUUGGAGUCUCUAAAAGCACAGCUAUUCCUGGUGCUGUUGCUAUUAAUUGGAUUCUCAAGGAUGGUGCUGGUCGUGUAGGGAAAAUGCUUUUUGCACGGCAAGGAAAGAAGUUUGACUAUGACCUAAAGCAGCUGCGGUUUGCUGGUGAUCUUCUCAUGGAAUUGGGUGCUGGCGUAGAGUUGGCAACUGCAGCUGUACCACACCUUUUUCUUCCUUUGGCUUGUGCCGCAAAUGUGGCAAAGAAUGUUGCAGCUGUAACAUCAACUUCAACUCGAACACCAAUUUACAAAGCCUUUGCUAAAGGAGAAAACAUUGGCGAUGUUACUGCUAAGGGAGAAUGUGUUGGCAAUGUUGCAGAUUUGCUGGGAACUGGGCUUAGCAUUAUGAUUUCGAAAAGAAAUCCAAGCUUGGUCACCACAUUUGCGCUCCUUUCAUGUGGCUAUGUCUUCAGCUCUUACCAAGAGGUUAAAUCUGUAGUGUUGCACACUCUGAACAGGGCCAGAUUUAGUGUGGCAGUGGAGUCUUUUCUUAAGACAGGGCGAGUACCCUCAUUGCAAGAGGGGAAUACAAGGGAAAAUAUAUUCAGCUUCCCAUGGUUGAAGGAGAGGCCUAUUGUUAUAGGAUCAAGAUUUAAAGAUGCUUUUCAAGACCCGAGUGCAUUUCUUGCCAUAGAGCCUCUAUUUGAGAAAGAGAGAUAUAUUGUGACAUAUAAUCCAACAAAGGAUAAGGUUUAUGCAUUGCUCAAGGAUCAAGCAAAGGCAGAUGAUAUUCUAAAAGCUGCAUUCCAUGCUCAUGUUCUCUUGCAUUUCAUAAAUUCAUCAAGUAAAAGUCGGUCUUCAUCAUUGAAGCAACAACAACAUGACCAUUCAAAUUAUAUUCUCUCGGCUAAUUAUCUUGAGGCUCAUAUUGCUGAGUCAUGCAAAAUGGUCUCAUCUCUGUAUGGUUCUUUUAAAAAUAAAGCUGCAGAACAGGGUUGGAGGAUGUCAGACUCGCUUCUUAAUCCUGGACGAGCCAGGCUUGUAUUAACUUGUUAGAUUGGUAUUUGGAAAUAUAUCCCUGAUACUUCCCUGAGCGUAUAGGCGGGAGUUGACCUGUCAAAUGCCAGAACUGUAAUUCAGUGCUCUGGACAUGUCAACCAUAAAUCCCUGAAAGCAUUUAGGUAACAAAGAGGCUAUCAGCACACCUACAGGAUCAUUGGAACCAUGGUUUCCUUAAGAUGGGAUGUCAUCCUCAUGGCAGUAAGGUACAAUAAAUAUUUGCUCAGAAGAUCAUGGUUCCAAAAUUUAUUAGGCCUCUUUAAUGUGGGGGGGCAGCAGUUUUGUUUUUAUCUAAUUCCCAAUUGCUGUACAAAUUAUAAAUAAAAAAAUUAAUUCCCAAGUCAAAGAAAAAAUAAUAAUUAUUAUUAUAUUAAAAAAGGAGGUGCGAGAAUCAUGAGGUCCCCUCUCUGUAUCUUUGGCCUUCAGGACUGAGAGUGGGUAGCAGAUGGUAGAUGAAAACAUCAUUGGAAAUAUUUAAGAGCUCUUUUAACAUAUGGAUUAUCAAUUACAGAAGAGAUUGGCAAAUGUCCUGUUAUUAUCAAUCAUCUUAAGAUGAAGUCUAUGAUUGGAAGAAAAUUUAAAC